rnacentral:rRNA from 1 species
GACGAACGCUGGCGGCGUGCUUAACACAUGCAAGUCGAACGGAAAGGCCCUGCUUGCCGGGUACUCGAGUGGCGAACGGGUGAGUAACACGUGGGUGAUCUGCCCUGCACUUCGGGAUAAGCCUGGGAAACUGGGUCUAAUACCGGAUAGGAGCCAUUUUUAGUGUGAUGGUUGGAAAGUUUUUUCGGUUUAGGAUGAGCUCGCGGCCUAUCAGCUUGUUGGUGGGGUAAUGGCCUACCAAGGCGGCGACGGGUAGCCGGCCUGAGAGGGUGGACGGCCACAUUGGGACUGAGGGACGGCCCGGACACCUACGGGAGGCAGCAGGGGGGAAGAUUGCACAAGGGGCGCAAGCCGGAUGCAGCGACGCCGCGGGGGGGAUGACGGCCUUAGGGUUGAAAACGCCUUUCGCUAGGGACGAAGCUUUUUGUGACGGUACCUAGAGAAGAAGCACCGGCUAACUACGUG